UGCACCGCAGUGAGUCUGGAGAGACCAAGUGAAGAAAAGUGGGCAGUAAGUUUUAAAUAUCUCCAGUGACAUACUCCAAAAAUCUUCUCCAUGACAGGAUUUUUUGGAUGAUUUUCUCCCAGUGUGAAAACUGAAGUGCUGCUACAGAUCUUGGAGGAACUGUAGGGACUUGAUGCCAGAUCUUCAAAACAGCACAGCAAGCUGAUGAGAAGCUGUCCUUCCACACCCAAGGGCCGCGGACUGAGAACCAGCGCUCUGGAGCUUAUAAAGAGCGACUCCUUUAGAAAGCGAUCUAAACCAGGAGCUUUACUCAUUAACUUUUGCUAGACUGAUGCCACUCAGAGCUCUCCCAUACUCUCUUGUCCAGGGUAUGUUUUAAUGAAGGAAAAAAAACCCCCAAAAUAUCUCCACCGGUGUCUUUUAUUAAGUAAUGCAAAAUACAGUAUUAAUUAUGACACUGCAUGCAUUUUAGACAAUAUAAAUGCAAACCUACAGAAAAUGUGACAAAGAAACCCUCAAUUACUUUUGAGGUAGUAUACAAGGAAAAAUAGGAAAGCAGAAACACAGUGGAUUAAAAGAACAAAAUAUUAGUAUCACUUUGUGCAUACAUUAGUCACUCAUAAAUACAUUUGUAUGAAAUAACAUAAGAUACAAUUCCAUUCUUGUUAAAAAAUAUACUUCUUCAAAUUCACCAUUCUUGUUUGUGUUGUUUUCACAUGACAUUU